rnacentral:rRNA from 1 species
UGGGGAAUAUUGGACAAUGGGCGAAAGCCUGAUCCAGCCAUGCCGCGUGUGUGAAGAAGGCCUUUUGGUUGUAAAGCACUUUAAGUGGGGAGGAAAAGCUUAUGGAUAAUACCCAUAGGUUCUGACGUUACCCACAGAAUAAGCACCGGCUAACUCUGUGCCAGCAGCCGCGGUAAUACAGAGGGUGCAAGCGUUAAUCGGAAUUACUGGGCGUAAAGCGCGCGUAGGUGGUUAUUUAAGUCAGAUGUGAAAGCCCCGGGCUUAACCUGGGAACUGCAUCUGAUACUGGAUAACUAGAGUAGGUGAGAGGGGAGUAGAAUUCCAGGUGUAGCGGUGAAAUGCGUAGAGAUCUGGAGGAAUACCGAUGGCGAAGGCAGCUCCCUGGCAUCAUACUGACACUGAGGUGCGAAAGCGUGGGUAGCAAACAGGAUUAGAUACCCUGGUAGUCCACGCCGUAAACGAUGUCUACCAGUCGUUGGGUCUUUUAAAGACUUAGUGACGCAGUUAACGCAAUAAGUAGACCGCCUGGGGAGUACGGCCGCAAGGUUA